GAACGCCGUGUGAUGGGAAACUGUCAUGCACGGUGUGGGACGGGGGAAAAGGCGGCGAUAACAUCAAAGUCUUACCUAUCGUUAU
rfam:Desulfosporosinus sp. OL contig00008, whole genome shotgun sequence.